rnacentral:rRNA from 1 species
AACGAACGCUGGCGGCAGGCCUAACACAUGCAAGUCGAGCGAGGACUUCGGUCCUAGCGGCGGACGGGUGAGUAACGCGUGGGAACGUGCCCUUUGCUUCGGAAUAGCCCUGGGAAACUGGGAGUAAUACCGGAUGAGCCCUUUGGGGGAAAGAUUUAUCGGCGAAGGAUCGGCCCGCGUUGGAUUAGGUAGUUGGUGGGGUAAUGGCCUACCAAGCCGACGAUCCAUAGCUGGGUUGAGAGGAUGAUCAGCCACACUGGGACUGAGACACGGCCCAGACUCCUACGGGAGGCAGCAGUGGGGAAUCUUAGACAAGGGGGGAAACCCUGAUCGAGCCAUGCCGCGUGAGCGAUGAAGGCCUUAGGGUUGUAAAGCUCUUUCAGCUGGGAAGAUAAUGACGGUACCAGCAGAAGAAGCCCCGGCUAACUCCGUG